UACGGGGGGAGCAAGCGUUGUUCGGAUUUACUGGGCGUAAAGGGCGCGUAGGCGGCCACCGCAAGUCGGUUGUGAAAUCUCUGGGCUUAACCCAGAAAGGUCAACCGAUACUGCGGGGCUAGAGUGCAGAAGGGGCAACUGGAAUUCCAGGUGUAGCGGUGAAAUGCGCAGAUAUCAGGAGGAACACCGGUGGCGAAGGCGGGUCUCUGGGCCGAUACUGACGCUGAGGAGCGAAAGCGUGGGGAGCGAACAGG
rnacentral:rRNA from 1 species